UGGGGAAUAUUGCACAAUGGGCGCAAGCCUGAUGCAGCCAUGCCGCGUGUAUGAAGAAGUCCUUCGGGUUGUAAAGUACUUUCAGUCGGGAGGAAGGUGGUAAGGUUAAUAACCUUAUCAAUUGACGUUACCGACAGAAGAAGCACCGGCUAACUCCGUGCCAGCAGCCGCGGUAAUACGGAGGGUGCAAGCGUUAAUCGGAAUUACUGGGCGUAAAGCGCACGCAGGCGGUUGAUUGAGUCAGAUGUGAAAUCCCCGGGCUUAACCCGGGAAUUGCAUCUGAUACUGGUCAGCUAGAGUCUUGUAGAGGGGGGUAGAAUUCCAUGUGUAGCGGUGAAAUGCGUAGAGAUGUGGAGGAAUACCGGUGGCGAAGGCGGCCCCCUGGACAAAGACUGACGCUCAGGUGCGAAAGCGUGGGGAGCAAACAGG
rnacentral:rRNA from 1 species